GGGGAUGAUCCGGUUUCGACGGGGGUUUUGAAACAAGAUAAGCGAGCUGCGGCCCCGGACCGCAUACCACCCGGGAAAUAAAAAUGAACUGACAAUUCUUACGAAUUGGCUGCUGCUUAAUGCAGCACGUCAGCCCGGGCUGCCCACUUGCCCGGUAACUGGCGUCAUUUAAGUGGGGAACGGAUAUACCAAAGCUUUGAGGUAUAACUGUAUUAUGAAGCUACUGAAAUUGUAAGCCUGUCUAUAGGCGUACAGUGGAGGGAAUGUCAAAUUAUAGACUGCGCUCGGAGAAAGUCUUGCGGAUAGGCUUUCGGACAGGAGUUCGACUCUCCUCAUCUCCA
rnacentral:sRNA from 1 species